AGAGUAGUCGAGUAAGUCCUGGAAUCUCUAGUCCAGCAAUAGCGGUCUUACUCCGUGCAAAGUGAACCCAUCGGGGUUUACCCUCGAAAGAGGCGGUGAGAAUCGGAGCCCAGGGAUUGACUAUUCU
ncrna:unclassified sequences DTF3800-III RNA